rnacentral:rRNA from 1 species
CUUGGUCAUUUAGAGGAAGUAAAAGUCGUAACAAGGUUUCCGUAGGUGACCUGCGGAAGGAUCAUUAUAGAGUUAGGGUCUUCUGGGCCCGAUCUCCACCCUUUGUUUAAAUACCACGUUGCUUUGGCGGGCCCGUCGCAGGACGGCAAAAAGCCUUUGGACUUUUGCCUAGUGCCCGUCAGUAGCCCCUUUAAACCUUGAUAAAUUAUGGUGUCUAAGUUACAAACGUAAUAGUUAAAACUUUAACAACGGAUCUCUUGGUUCUGGCAUCGAUGAAGAACGCAGCGAAAUGCAUAAGUAAUGCGAAUUGCAGAAUUCAGUGAGUCAUCGAAUCUUUGAACGACAUUGCGCCCUUUGGUAUUCCGAAGGGCAUGCCUGUUCGAGCGUCAUUUCGACCCUCAAGCCUAGCUUGUUGUUGGACCUUUCGUCGUCAAAGACGGUCCCAAAGACAAUGACAGAGUCUAUCGGAUUCUAGAUGCAACGAGCUUUAAUAGCACGCAUUGAAGUAGCCGGUGGCUUUGGUCUCAAAACCGAUUUUUUACAAGGUUGACCUCGGAUCAGGUAGGAAUACCCGCUGAACUUAAGCAAUCAAUAAGCGGAGGA